CUUUUUUUUUUUAGAGAUUUUAUUUUUAUUUGAGAGAGGGAGAGACAAAGCAACAGAGAUAGCAAGGAGAGCACAAACAGGGGGAGCAGCAGAGGGAGAGGGAGAAGCAGACUUCUCGCUGAGCAGGGAGCCGGACACAGGGCUCAAUCCCAGGACACCGGGAAUGCAACCCGAGCCAAAGUCAGACGCCCAACCGACUGAGCCAUCCAGGCGCUCUUCUUUUUUUUUUUUUUUUUAAGAUUUAUUCAUUUAUUCAUGAGAGACAGAGAGAGAGAGGCAGAGACACAGGCAGAGGGAGAAGCAGGCUCCCCAUAGGAAGCCCAAGGCGGGACUCGAUCCAGGAUCCCAGGAUCACACCCUGAACCAAAGGCAGACCCUCAACGGCUGAGCCACCAGGUGUCCCUAAACAAUUGUUUAAUAUCAUCAAACAUCCAGUCAGUGUUUAUUUUUUAAAAGAUUUUAUUUAUUUAUUCAUGAAAGACACAGAGAGAGGCAGAGACACAGGCAGAGGAAGAAGCAGGCUCCAUGUAGGGAGCCUGAAGCAGGACUUGAUCCCAGGACCCCAGGAUCACGACCUGAGCCAAAGGCAAACGCUCAGCCACUGAGCCACCCACCUGGUAACACCCAUCUAAUUGCAUCCUGCCGGCUGGUAGAAAGUCUGGAGGCUUGCUGGAAUUCUGCUUGGAUUUGGAGGCCAGAAUAUUCUGCAGGUGGGUGAGGUGCCUUGGGCUGGUCUCGGGCAGGAGGUUCAGGGCAGCUGCUUGAACAGAUGCUCUCAAUUUAGUCCUGCGUUCUAAAGUUCCUUGUGGCUAGAUCCAUUAUUUAAUGUCAGGGACGUGAAAACUUGAGGAUUCCUUCUGUAUUUGUUAGCAGAAACUGCUCCGUAAAGAACUUGCCCUCACUAACUAUUGGUUUACAGUGAAAUUCAGUCUGUACAGGAGAGGUCGGAUAUAUCCUUGAUUCUUUCACGGGUUUUUGGAAUAGUUACUAUUGGGCAGGUCUUUGCUUCUAGGUCUUUCCAGUGGGGACAGUUAGGAUGUAUAUAUUUUAAGGGGAAGAUAGACAUGGGUUUACACUGCUAUUUCCAAUUCAAAUUCAGGACCAUCAGCCUCUAACCUCUUUGAU
rnacentral:lncRNA from 12 species